AUGUUCUCUGUGUCUCUAAUGCUGCUCAUGGCAGCCACAUCCUAUGUAAUGGGUCAGACACUGACUGAGUCUGAACCAGUGAUCAUUACACCUGGUGGAUCUCAUAAACUGACCUGCACAGCAUCUGGGUUUAACUUUGGUGACUAUGGCAUGAACUGGAUCAGACAGGCACCUGGAAAAGGACUGGAAUGGGUGUCAUAUAUCAGCUAUGACAGUAGCAACAUAUAUUACUCCAGUGGUGUUCAGGGAAGGUUCACCAUCUCCAGAGACAACAGUAAGAAUCAGCUCUAUCUACAGAUGAACAGUCUGAAGACUGAAGACACAGCUGUGUAUUACUGUACAUGA